rnacentral:SRP_RNA from 2 species
GCUGGGCAUGGUGGCGCGUGCCUGUAAUCCCAGCUACUUGGGAGGCUAAGGCAGAAGAAUCACUUGAGCCCAGGAGGCGGAGCUUGCAGUGAGCUAAGAUCGUGCCACUGCACUCCAGCCUGGGCUACAGAGUGAGACUCCAUCUCAA